AAAAAGUAAGUAAUUCCUUUGAGUCUAUUUUGUUAUCAUUGAAGGAUAAUGAUGUGUCCCUUUGUAGGGUCUUAGCUGAAAAUAUGCAUCCCCUGCAACAUGAAGUGGUUAUAGGUAAGCAUUUAGAGUCUAGACAGUAAAGGUGUGGUCAAGAUGUUUCUGUUUACACCAUUGCACUGUUGCAGACAGACAGACUCUGUGGCCAGACCCUUAAAUAUUCUCUGUGAAGCAAGACAGAAGUGAUGUGGAUCAAUUAAAUCAACACCUCCAAGCUAGAAGCAGAAGUCUGGCUAUCCAGCACCCUCAGCUAUAUAACAGGGAAGAUAUGUCCAAUUGCAAUCUACAAUUUGAAGAAUUCUACAAAUAACGAUGUGAAAUAAAUGGUGGUGGUGGUGGUGAAGCUUGGAGAAGGUCUGCUUCAAUUGUGAACCCCUGACAGCUCCGGCAGUGGAAGUUGGGAUGGGGAUACGGUGCAAGCAAGAGGAUUCAAAUACAUCCGACACUGGGGGAAAAUGUAAGUGAAAAACUACACUGGUACAAAUGGAACGGGCUGCAUCUAGACAAGAAGGGAUCCAACGCACUAGGUGAGCGCAUAAACACAUGGAAGUGAGGAAUUGUUUAAACAAGGACAUCGCUGGACCACAGGGAGGAACUAGUAAGAGAUAGAGACUAGGCAAGUCACAAACUGCUAGAGUUAAAAGCUACAGUAGCUGCCGAAAACAACUACCGGAAAUUACCAAAACUUGGCUUACCCCAAGUGAUAGAGAGGAAUACUCAAUUAGUGGGUUUAGGUUGUUUAAGAGAGACAGACAAGACAGAAGAGGAAGAAGGGUUAUGCUGUAUAGUGGAGAGAAAAUAGAGGUAAAACCAGUAGACCGAAGUGGAAACCAAAACCUGUGCAAUUCUAUAUCGGGCAAGGUAACCAACAAGAAAACAAAAAGACUGACACAAGGAGUGUACUGCAGACCGCCAUACAUGGAUACCAAUGAUAGACCCAUUUAUAUAACAACAAUAGAGAUUCAUGCAAGGAAGGGGACACCAUAAUCGGGGCAGAUUUCAACUUCCCAGGUAUGAACUGGAAUAUCCCCACAAAUUGUGGAGUGACAAGGCUUGGUGGAAGUGGCAAAUAAUUGCUUUUUAUCACCAGGGAGAGCACUUGCCUCGACAUAGUACAGUGCUACCCUGUUAUAAUGUGACCCAUUAUAAUGCAGAAUCGGUUAUAACAUGGUAAGGUCAUGGCUCCCACAUCCCACAUAAUGCAAUUUGACUCACAAACGUUGGAUGUUAUUGUUGUUUUACAUUACCAUAUUUUAGUUGAAACUGGGAUAUAUUGUACUUAUUUAAAAGCUCCCGUGCUUGCACUGUAUUUUUUUUUUCUAAAAGUAAAAACAGUCUGUUAAUGUUACAAAACAAGUACGAAACAGUACGAUUGUGUGUGAAUUCUGUGUUAUUUAUUUAUAGUUUACAUUUAUUAUAAAAAAAAUACAAUUUGAAUAAGAGUGGUGUAAACUUUAAACUGGUGGAAACGCAGUUUCUAUUAUACUGUAUAUAUUGUAACGACCCAGGAUUUAUACUGUU